rnacentral:rRNA from 1 species
GAGGAAUAUUGGUCAAUGAACGAGAGUCUGAACCAGCCAAGUAGCGUGAAGGAUGACUGCCCUAUGGGUUGUAAACUUCUUUUAUACGGGAAUAAAGUGAGGCACGUGUGCCUUUUUGUAUGUACCGUAUGAAUAAGGAUCGGCUAACUCCGUGCCAGCAGCCGCGGUAAUACGGAGGAUCCGAGCGUUAUCCGGAUUUAUUGGGUUUAAAGGGAGCGUAGGCGGACGCUUAAGUCAGUUGUGAAAGUUUGCGGCUCAACCGUAAAAUUGCAGUUGAUACUGGGUGUCUUGAGUACAGUAGAGGCAGGCGGAAUUCGUGGUGUAGCGGUGAAAUGCUUAGAUAUCACGAAGAACUCCGAUUGCGAAGGCAGCUUGCUGGACUGUAACUGACGCUGAUGCUCGAAAGUGUGGGUAUCAAACAGGAUUAGAUACCCUGGUAGUCCACACAGUAAACGAUGAAUACUCGCUGUUUGCGAUAUACAGUAAGCGGCCAAGCGAAAGCGUUAAGUAUUCCACCUGGGGAGUACGCCGGCAACGGUGAAACUCAAAGGAAUUGACGGGGGCCCGCACAAGCGGAGGAACAUGUGGUUUAAUUCGAUGAUACGCGAGGAACCUUACCCGGGCUUGAAUUGCAACUGAAUGAUGUGGAGACAUGUCAGCCGCAAGGCAGUUGUGAAGGUGCUGCAUGGUUGUCGUCAGCUCGUGCCGUGAGGUGUCGGCUUAAGUGCCAUAACGAGCGCAACCCUUAUCGAUAGUUACCAUCAGGUUAUGCUGGGGACUCUGUCGAGACUGCCGUCGUAAGAUGUGAGGAAGGUGGGGAUGACGUCAAAUCAGCACGGCCCUUACGUCCGGGGCUACACACGUGUUACAAUGGGGGGUACAGAAGGCAGCUACACGGCGACGUGAUGCUAAUCCCGAAAGCCUCUCUCAGUUCGGAUUGGAGUCUGCAACCCGACUCCAUGAAGCUGGAUUCGCUAGUAAUCGCGCAUCAGCCACGGCGCGGUGAAUACGUUCCCG